rnacentral:rRNA from 1 species
UACAGAGGGUGCGAGCGUUGUUCGGAAUUAUUGGGCGUAAAGCGCUUGUAGGCGGCACGUCAAGUCGCGUGUGAAAUCCCCAGGCUUAACCUGGGAAGUGCGCGCGAAACUGACGAGCUUGAGUGCCGGAGAGGGUCGCGGAAUUCCCGGUGUAGAGGUAAAAUUCGUAGAUAUCGGGAGGAACACCAGUGGCGAAGGCGGCGACCUGGACGGACACUGACGCUGAGACGCGAAAGCGUGGGGAGCAAACAGG